UCCAGGCUAAUCCUAACAGUGAGGAGAUAUGGUUGGCUGCUGUGAAGCUAGAGUCUGAGAAUAAUGAAAAUGAAACCCGUCGGCUACUGGCCAAGGAUGUAGCAGUGCUCCUACUUCCAGGGUUGGAGUUUGUGAGACUGGGGUUCAGGACAUGGCUGAAGAACAUCGGCAACACACUGAUGGCUAAAGCCCUACAGGAGUGCCCCAGCAGGUAUAUUGUGGGCUGAGGCAGUGUUUUUUGAGGGCCUGCCACAGAGGAAGACGAAGAGUGUUGAUGCUCUGAUGAAGUGUGAACACAUCCUGCUCGACGUUGCCAAGAACGACACACAUUAUUUUUCUCUCUCAAAAUCUCUCCUUCUCUUGCCUCUACUUUUCACUGUUAUACUUAUGACAUCCUUCCCCUUUUGUACUACCUCAGUAGGUCAAACUCUCCCCCUCUCUGCUUUCAUUCUUUCAGGAGGACAAACUCUCCCUCUCUCUGCUUUCAUUCCUUCAGGAGGACAAACUCUCCCUCUCUCUGCUUUCAUUUCUUCAGUAGGUCAAACUCUCCCUCGCUCUGCUUUCAUUCCUUCAGGAGGACAAACUCUCCCUCUCUCUGCUUUCAUUCCUUCAGUAGGUCAAACUCUCCCUCUCUCUGCUUUCAUUCCUUCAGUAGGACAAACUCUCCCUCUCUCUGCUUUCAUUCCUUCAGUAGGACAAACUCUCCCUCUCUCUGCUUUCAUUCCUUCAGUAGGACAAACUCCUCCUUGCUUUAUCCUUACCAGGGUUGGGAUCAAUUCCAUUUAAAUUCCAGUCAAUUCAGGAAGCAAUUCCACAUUUUCCUAAUUGAGAAGCAUUGGAUAGAAUUGGAAUUGGAACUGAAUUGACUGGAAUGGAAAUGGAGUUGACCCCAACCCUGAUCCUUACUAUUACCAACUCCUUCCUUCUUCCUUGUUUUCAAUCUACCAGUACAACACAUGCCCACUAUCUCUUCUCUCUCAACAUCUUAGUCAGAAUUUGAUGAGUAAACAGCCCAUGUGUGUGUGGGGGGGUUCUGGAGCGAGUGUAAGCUUACUAAGGCCAGAGUGGUUCCCGAGGACAGUGAAGGUUGACCUGGGAGACACCUGGGCCCUCUUCUACAGUUUGAGAUGCAACACGGCACCGAGGGGCAGCAGGAGGAAGUACAUAAGCACUGUGAGAACACUGAGCCGUGUCACCGGGAGCUGUGGUGUGCUGAGUCCAAACAGGUCCUCCACUGGCUGGCAGAAGAAGAUAGGAGAGAUCCUCACACAGGUCGCCUUCUGAGGCAUAGGCUGGACAGACGGAAACUGUGUUUCUGACUCCAUGUCCCUCUGUCCAAUAACCACGGACACACACCCCAAGUUCUCUCAUCUUUUAAAGUCAUAGAGAGUAGCAGUCUAUUUGGACACACACACAUGCUUGGCGUGACGAGAGUUGACAAUGGUUCACGAGCAGUACAGAAUAUUUGCAUAUUUGCAAUGUUUACAGCAUGUGAAAGCACGUUGGGAAAAGGAGAACAAAAACUGGGCAUUUUGUUUAACUUUAUUUUUAUUGAAUUGUGAAAUGUCAUGUCCUCCAUUGAAUCAGAAAAUGCUGCUAUAUAUAUUUUUGAAUGCCUUUUAAAGACUGUUUAUACCCGUGGGUAUGCUUAGAGCAGACAGUUACCUGAUACCAGCUCUGUUAAGACAUUUGUUAAUAUGACAAUUUGACCAUGGUGUUGUUUUUUUAUCCUCUGUAAAUCCUCUGUAAAACAAUGUUUAAUUUGCUCGAUCGAGAUGUACGCCAUACAUAGGUAGUAGGGCUGGAAUUGCCAGGGACCUCACAAUAAAAUAUUAUAACGAUACUUAGGUGCCUAUACAACAUGCAUUGAGGAUCUCACGAUUCUAUAUGUAUUGUGAUUCGAUAUUGUGAUUUGAUGUUCCACAUGUAUUGCGCAUUAUGUCUGCUGCAGAGAGACAAGAGACAGAGCAUGAGAAAACGUCAGGGAUUAUUACUAAUGGAUACGAUAAGAAAGACUCUGAUUACAAGUAAGUCAGCUGGAGCUUCACAUUUACUCACGCUAGUCAGUACAAGAAUAACAUUGAGCAACACUGUGCUCCGUUCUUAAAGGGGACAUCAGGACAUAACAUCCCAUCUCUUAUACAAUCAGAGUUAUUUUUACCAAACCACAACUGAAACAUUUCCCAGAACUUGCUGUAGUUAUUUUGCAUCUUUGAUUUGAACUUGAACAGUCUUGGUUUUGUUUGUCUAUAAGUCCAGCCGGUCUGGUGGCGCCUUGGAUUGUCUGGAGGCUCCUGCACAUCCUCAGUGUGUGCUUGCUCCAUUAUAGCUUCUACUAUAGCAGCACAUUCAUCCACACAUUCUUUACGCCUAAGGUCUCUGUACUGCCCCACUGUCCUCUACAGUUCUCCGUGUGUCACUCUCGGGAUCUCUCUUUGCCUGUUCUCUCUUGAUUGUUGUGCUGUUUUCCGUGGAAUGCAUUUGGUUAAUGUAACGCCGCCACAUUAUGUCAGGGCUCACUUGAAUCUGGUAAGUUCUGGGUCCCUGCUUGUGCGUGUACAGUCCCUCUUGUCCUUUAACCUCCCUUUCUGUAGUAUCGCACCAUCACAUCCUGUCCAUGAAACAAGGCGUAUCGCUGUAACCUGUCAUUGCCGGAAUUACUUUUUUUGGACUAAAAUGGAAAACAACAGCUGGUGAUCCGUAAACCAGAGUGAAACGCUUCCCAUAUAAGUAUGCAUGGAAGUUAUUGACACCCAACACUCGCGCCAGUGCAUUAUUCAAUGUUUGUGAUGCAAAGGCAACUGGCGUCUCAGACCCAUCUUUCAGUGUGUUUGAAAGCCCCUAAGCAAUACGGGGACGCAUCACAAGUCAACUUCACUGGCAGUUCAGGGUCGUAAUGCAUCAGGACCUGUUCAGAUUUGAUGAGCCAUUUUGCCUCCAUUUUCACACUGUUCUGUCCACUGAUAUGUCAUAUUCUUUUGCAGGAGCUGAUUGAGGGGCUGGAGUGCUGCUGAAAGGUUUGGGAGGAAUCUCCUGUAGUAAUUGGUCAGUCCAGUGAAAGGUCUCACUUCUAUCACAUUUUGCGGUCGCCGUGGUGCCUGUACCACUGCAUCAAUUUUGUCCUGUGUUUUGUGCGGUCGAUUGCAUGUCCACAGAAUGCUAUCUUGUUUUUUUACUGAAGUGUUUACCACCAGCUAGUGCAGCAAAGAUGUCCUCCAGACGUGGCAGGGGGCAUUGGUCCACACGGAACAUUGAAUUCACAGUUACCUUGAAGUCCCCACACAUUCUAACAGACCCGUCUUUCUUUACAAUAGGAACAAUGGGUGCAGCCCAUUUGCUUCUGUCCACUUUUGUCAGGAUCCCAAUCAAUUUCCGCUUCCACCUUUGGUCUCAGGGAGUAUGGAACCGAUCUAGCUUUGCAUAAUAUUGGGGAUGCAUUACCUCUCAGUACGAGUUUGGCUGUGAUGCCUUUUACUGUUCCCAUCAGAUCAGCGAAAACAAUGUUGUAUAUGUUUGGUCUGUGCCUUUCUCUUUAGGCAAGGGAGUGUGGAGCAUUUUCAAGUCACGUCAGUUCAGCUAGAAUGGUGGGCUGUUCCAGGCAUCAGAUACAGCUGUAACUGCUGUGUUUGCUCCCCAUAUCGCACACUGACCUGCAACGCCCCCAUUGGGCUCAAUCUGUCUCCUGAGUAUGUCUUCAGCAACACAUUUGUUUUCUUCAGCUUGAUAGCCUUGAAGUGCUCAGGGGUGUGCCUUCGAUAUCUGGUGUCACCCAUAUUAUGCUACUGCUGGGAGAAGUCACUGUGUUUAACUCCAUUGUACCAAUUAACCGUUGAUCUGAAUCACUGCCACUGUUCUCUGCUAGUGCAUUCACAGACCCUUUCAUUUUCUCAGUUUUCCUGUUGUGACUGCAUUUUGCUCUGCAUGCUCUUUGAAUGUGAUCCCGUCUAUUGAAUUUGUGACAAAUUCCGUCUUUGAAACAGCAGUCCUCUGCUUUGUGACCAUCUCUGUCACACCUGUGGUAUUUUCCGGCCACACGGGGGCACUGUCUGCUGCGUGAACUUGUGCAGGGAAGUUUGUGAAGAGGUCAGUAUUUAUUUUACUUUGCAACUCUAUUGCAUCUUUGGUCACCAUUUCCAUAGCCACAGCAAUUUCAACAGCCUUUUCAAAUGUGAGAUCUGAUUCUGUGAACAAACAUUUCUGAAUGUAUUCAUCUUUUAGUCCACAGUAGAAUCUAUCCCUUACUUAAUGUGUCAUUUAGGUUCUCUACAAACUCCAAACUCCAAACAGUUUCUUCAACUCUGCUAUAUACAGUACCAGUCAAAGGUUUGGACACACCUACUUAUUCAAGGGUUUUUUGUUAUUUUCACUAUUAUCUACAUUGUAGAAUAAUAGUGAAGACAUCAAACUAUUGAAAUAACACAUAUGGAAUAAUGUAGUAACCAAAAAAAGUGUUAAACAAAUCAAACAAGUCUCUUCAUCUUAGCAGUGGUUUCUUUGCAGCAAUUAGACCAUGAUGGCCUGAUUAACCCAGUCUCCUCUGAACAGUUGAUGUUGAGAUGUGUCUGUUACCUGAACUCUGUGAAGCAUUUAUUUGGGCUGCAAUUUCUGAGGCUGAACAUAUCCUCUGCAGCAGAGGUAACUCUUGGUCUUCCUUUCCUGUGGCGAUCCUCACGGGAGCCAAUUUCAUUAUAGCGCUUGAUGGUUCUUGCGACUGCACUUCAAGAAACUUUAAAAGUUCUUGAAAAAUUUCCGGGUUGACUGACCUUCAAGUCUUACAGUAAUGAAGGACUGUCAUUUUUCUUUGCUUAUUUGAGCUGUUCUUGCCAUGAUACGGACUUGGUAUUUUACCAAAUAGGGCUAUCUUCUGUACACCACCCCUACCUUGUCUGUCACCGUAGAAAGCGUUGUAUGUGUCUAUUUUGUUUUGGUCAGGGUGUGAAUUGGGUGGGCAGUCUAUGUUCUAUGUUCUAUGAUCUUCUAUUUCUAUGUGUUUGGCCGGGUGUGGUUCUCAAUCAGAGGCAGCUGUCUAUCGUUGUCUCUGAUUGAGAACCAUACUUCGGUACCCUUUUGCCCCACCUGUUUUGUGGGAAGUUGACUUUGACUUUGUUCAGGGAGCAUAGCCCAAAGGUUCACGAUUUGGUUUUGUUCUUUGUUUUGUCGGCAUCAUUUUUAAUAAAGAGAAAAUGUACACUUACCAUGCUGCACCAUGGUCCAGUCCUUCAGCCAGCCGUGACAUUGUCACAACACAACUGAUUGGCUCAAAUGCAUUAAGAAGGAAAGAAAUUCCACAAAUUAACUUUUAACAAGUGUCGUGGAAAUUCAGUAAUAAGAGAGAUGUGG
ensembl:lncRNA